rnacentral:rRNA from 1 species
ACGGGAGGCAGCAGCUAAGAAUAUUCCGCAAUGGACGAAAGUCUGACGGAGCGACGCCGCGUGGAUGAUGAAGGCCGGAAGGUUGUAAAAUCCUUUUAUUACUGAGGAAUAAGCCGUGCAGGCAAUGGCAUGGCGGUGACUGUAGGUAAUGAAUAAGCAACGGCUAAUUACGUGCCAGCAGCCGCGGUAACACGUAAGUUGCGAGCGUUGUUCGGAAUUAUUGGGCGUAAAGGGCAUGUAGGCGGUCAGGCAAGUCUGGUGUGAAAUCCCGUGGCUCAACCACGGAACUGCAUUGGAAACUACUUGGCUUGAAUCACUGAAGGGGAACCGGAAUUCCAGGUGUAGGGGUGAAAUCUGUAGAUAUCUGGAAGAACACCAAUGGCGAAGGCAGGUUUCUGGCAGAUGAUUGACGCUGAGGUGCGAAGGUGCGGGGAGCAAACAGGAUUAGAUACCCUGGUA